AUUGAAACACCGGUUCUCGUAUGAUCAUCGAAGUUAAGCAACGUCGAUACUGGCCAGUACCUAGAUGGGUGAUUGUUUGGGAAUACCAGGUGCUGUAAG